GAUGAACGCUAGCGGCAGGCCUAAUACAUGCAAGUCGAACGGUGUCUUCGGACAUAGUGGCGCACGGGUGCGUAACACGUAUGCAACCUACCUUACAUUGGGGGAUAGCCUUUCGAAAGGGAGAUUAAUACCGCAUAAGACAGUAACUAGGCAUCUAGUAGCUGUUAAAGAUUUAUCGAUGUAAGCUGGGCAUGCGUCCAAUUAGCUAGUUGGUGAGGUAACGGCUCACCAAGGCAAUGAUUGGUAGGGGAACUGAGAGGUCAAUCCCCCACACUGGAACUGAGAUACGGGCAAGACUCCUACGGGAGGCAGCAGUAGGGAAUAUUGGGCAAUGGACGCAAGUCUGACCCAGCCAUGCCGCGUGCAGGAUGAAGGCGUUAUGCGUUGUAAACUGCUUUUAUACAGGAAGAAACGACUCUUGCGAGAGGCAUUGACGGUACUGUAUGAAUAAGCACCGGCUAACUCCGUGCCAGCCGCCGCAGUAAAAC
rnacentral:rRNA from 1 species